UUUCGAAUCAUUCACAAUGGGGGAAACCCUGAUGGUGCGACGCCGCGUGGAGGAUGAAGGUCUUCGGAUUGUAAACUCCUGUCAAGGGGGACUAACCAUACGGCUCAUACCCGUAUCUGCAUUAACCCCUAGAGGAAGCAGUGGCUAACUCUGUGCCAGCAGCCGCGGUAAUACGUAGGGGGCAAGCGUUGUCCGGAAUCACUGGGCGUAAAGGGCGCGUAGGCGGUCUGUUAAGUCAGUUGUGAAAACUGAGGGCUCAACCCUCAGCCUGCAACUGAUACUGGCAGACUUGAGUAUGGAAGAGGAGAAUGGAAUUCCUAGUGUAGCGGUGAAAUGCGUAGAUAUUAGGAGGAACACCAGUGGCGAAGGCGAUUCUCUGGGCCAAAACUGACGCUGAGGCGCGAAAGCGUGGGGAGCAAACA
rnacentral:rRNA from 1 species